GCUUGACUGCGAGACCUACAAGUCGAGCAGGGUCGAAAGACGGACUUAGUGAUCCGGUGGUUCCGCAUGGAAGGGCCAUCGCUCAACGGAUAAAAGCUACCCCGGGGAUAACAGGCUUAUCUCCCCCAAGAGUUCACAUCGACGGGGAGGUUUGGCACCUCGAUGUCGGCUCAUCGCAUCCUGGGGCUGUAGUCGGUCCCAAGGGUUGGGCUGUUCGCCCAUUAAAGCGGUACGCGAGCUGGGUUCAGAACGUCGUGAGACAGUUCGGUCCCUAUCCGUCGUGGGCGUAGGAAAUUUGAGAGGAGCUGUCCUUAGUACGAGAGGACCGGGAUGGACAUACCUCUGGUGUACCAGUUGUCGUGCCAACGGCAUAGCUGGGUAGCUAUGUAUGGACGGGAUAAGUGCUGAAAGCAUCUAAGCAUGAAGCCCCCCUCGAGAUGAGAUUUCCCAACUUC
rnacentral:rRNA from 1 species